UGAGAAGUUGUUUUCACCUUAAGAGUUUCAUACUUGUCAUAGUUCUUUAGUAACUUUGAUUUCUAAUAUAUUUGCAUGUAUUAGGCUAAUUUGCUCUUCUGAACUUUUAACAACUGAUAUUAUCUUGUAACUUCUUGGUUUUAUUCCUGUAUAUCCUGGGUGUCCAAUCUCUGUUACUCAUUUCUCACUUCCAAGUAUUCUGAAUUAGGUUGUUUCUGUAAGUCAGGCAUUAGUUGAUGUGUUUCCUUUUCUGGUCACUUUAAUUCAUUGGUCUUUGACAGAAAAUGCAUUGAACAUUCAUAUAAUCCUGAAUAAUAAUUGUUGCUAAAUAGUCCACAUUAAUAUAUUUGUUUAAAACUUUAGUUGUGUUGGCUAAUUCUUGAACUUGUCAAUUAAGCCUGUAGUCCAUACCAAAAUUGCUGAAUAGUCCACAUUAGGAUAUUUGUUUAAAACUUUAGUUGUGUUGGCUAAUUAUUAAACUUGUC
rnacentral:lncRNA from 1 species